GACGAACGCUGGCGGCGUGCUUAACACAUGCAAGUCGAACGGUAAGGCCCUUUCGGGGGUACACGAGUGGCGAACGGGUGAGUAACACGUGGGUGAUCUGCCCUUCCCUUUGGGAUUAGCCUGGGUAACUGGGUCUAAUACCGGAUAGGACUACGCGAUGCAUGUCGUUUGGUGGAAAGCUUGUGCGGUGUGUGAUGUGCCCGCUGCCUAUCAGCUUGUUGGUGUGGUGAUGACGUACCAAGCCGACGACGGGUAGCCGGCCUGGGAGGGUGUCCGGCCACACUGGGACUGAGAGACGGCCCAGAAUCCAACGGGAGGCAGCAGGGGAGAGUAUUGCACAGUGGGCGCAAGCCUGAUGCAGCGACCCCGCGUGGGGGAUGACGGCCUUCGGGUUAUAAACCCCUUUCAGCACAGACGAAGCGUAAGUGACGGUAUGUGCAGAAGAAGCACCGGCCAACUACGUG
rnacentral:rRNA from 1 species